GAUGAACGCUAGCGGCAGGCCUAAUACAUGCAAGUCAAGGGGAUAGCAAUAUCACCGGCGGACGGGUGCGUAACGCGUACACAACGUGCCCAAGGGCGGAGGAAAGCGGCGGGAAACUGCCGGUAAUACUCCAUGGUGUUGUUGAGUGGCAUCACUUAACAACUAAAGUACAAGCGCCCUUGGAUCGGUGUGCGUUCGAUUAGCUAGUUGGCGGGGUAACGGCCCACCAAGGCUUCGAUCGAUAGGGGGUGUGAGAGCAUGACCCCCCACACGGGUACUGAGACACGGACCCGACUCCUACGGGAGGCAGCAGUAAGGAAUAUUGGACAAUGGGCGGAAGCCUGAUCCAGCCAUGCCGCGUGAAGGACGAAGGCGCUCAGCGUUGUAAACUUCUUUUGGAUGGGAACAAUAACUCCGACUUGUCGGAACUUGAGGGUACCAUCAGAAUAAGCACCGGCUAACUCCGUGCCAGCAGCCGCGGUAAA
rnacentral:rRNA from 1 species